rnacentral:miRNA from 1 species
GCAGACACAUUCCAGCCAAUCAGCAGCAGACCCUCCCUCCCAGACCCUCCCACCUCCUGGACAGCUCACUAAGAAUGCAGCUUCACAAUGAAUGUAAAAUGGAUGCUGUCCAGGAGGUGGGAGGGUCUGGGAAGGAGGGUCUGCUGCUGAUUGGCUGGAAUGUGUCUG